rnacentral:rRNA from 1 species
UGGGGAAUCUUGCACAAUGGGGGAAACCCUGAUGCAGCGACGCCGCGUGAGCGAUGAAGCCCUUCGGGGUGUAAAGCUCUUUCGGCAGGGACGAUAAUGACGGUACCUGCAGAAGCAGCUGCGGCUAACUACGUGCCAGCAGCCGCGGUAAUACGUAGGCAGCAAGCGUUGUUCGGAAUUACUGGGCGUAAAGAGUGCGUAGGCUGUUUGUCAAGUUCGGUGUGAAAUCUCCUGGCUCAACUGGGAGGGUGCGCCGGAAACUGGCAGACUAGAGUGUGGGAGAGGAAAGUGGAAUUCCUGGUGUAGCGGUGAAAUGCGUAGAUAUCAGGAGGAACACCGGAGGUGAAGACGGCUUUCUGGACCAUAACUGACGCUGAGGCACGAAAGCGUGGGUAGCAAACAGG